GAUGAACGCUGGCGGCGUGCCUAAUACAUGCAAGUCGAGCGAACGGACGAGAAGCUUGCUUUUCUGAUGUUAGCGGCGGACGGGUGAGUAACACGUGGAUAACCUACCUAUAAGACUGGGAUAACUUCGGGAAACCGGAGCUAAUACCGGAUAAUAUUUUGAACCGCAUGGUUCAAAAGUGAAAGACGGUCUUGCUGUCACUUAUAGAUGGAUCCGCGCUGCGUUAGCUAGUUGGUAAGGUAACGGCUUACCAAGGCAACGAUGCAUAGCCGACCUGAGAGGGUGAUCGGCCACACUGGAACUGAGACACGGUCCAGACUCCUACGGGAGGCAGCAGUAGGGAAUCUUCCGCAAUGGGCGAAAGCCUGACGGAGCAACGCCGCGUGAGUGAUGAAGGUCUUCGGAUCGUAAAGCUCUGUUAUUAGGGAAGAACAUAUGUGUAAGUAACUGUGCACAUCUUGACGGUACCUAAUCAGAAAGCCACGGCUAACUACGUG
rnacentral:rRNA from 1 species